rnacentral:pre_miRNA from 1 species
AUACUACUCCCUCCGUCCGGAAAUACUUGUCAUAGAAAUGGAUAUAAAUGGAUGUAUCUAGAACUAAAAUACAUCUAGAUACAUCCAUUCCUCGGACAAGUAUUUCCAGAUGGAGGGAGUAUAAU